CGUAGGAGUUUGAGAGGCGAGAGCGACGGGGGAUGCACUUGAGAAAUCCGACAGCAAAAGACAGGAAAUGGUGAAUCAAGUUGCGAUUUUCAAUGGAGUUUGGUUUAAACGAACAACGACCGUGUGAUGUAGAUUAAACGGUAGAUACGACAUGAGGUGUUUGUACUAAUGUCAUAUCGAACCUAUGCAGUACACCACCCACUCCGGACUCGGAGGUGCAGAAUCAGAAACCGCCAUAUCUUCGUUUCGAUUACUAUGCAAGAUUAUAGCAGAAUUCAAUCAACAGAAUUUGAGGGUUAAGUUUCUGCUCUUAAAGAGUUUCCUUGUAACCAAUGUUGAAGUCUAUGGCCUGCAUCAGCGAACAUCUUUCAACACCAGCUAACAAGGUUGCUGUAAUAAAUAUCAAGUCAGUUUCAGGUCUGCAGGGACACGUUGGGUGCUGUGCUACAAUCAAUGGCCUAUAUGUUGAAUCUGUCGUU